UGGGUGAGGCCGGAUCCUGGGCUGUGUCCCGGCGCCCUGUGCCCUGGGGCCUGCGCUGUUGGAUUCGCGCUCCCGGCCCGCAGCGCCCU
rfam:Canis lupus familiaris chromosome 14, whole genome shotgun sequence.